rnacentral:rRNA from 1 species
GCUAAGGAGUGUGUAACAACUCACCUGCCGAAUCAACUAGCCCUGAAAAUGGAUGGCGCUGAAGCGUCGUACCCACACCCGGCCGUCGGGCCGCGCGGCACGGUCCGACGAGUAGGAGGGCGCGGCGGUGGCGGUGCAGCUUCGGGCGCGAGCCCGGGUGAAGCCUCCGCCGGUGCAGAUCUUGGUGGUAGUAGCAACUAUUCAAACGAGAUCUUUGAAGACUGAAGUGGAGUAGGGUUCCAUGUGACCAGCACUUGGACAUGGGUUAGUCGAUCCUAAGGGGAGGGAGAGAUCCCCGUGGAAGGCGCAAUCGCCUCCGGCGACCGCGCCGUCUUCCCCGAAAGGGAGUCGGGUCAACAUUCCCGAACCGGGAUGCGGGUAGGCCCUCGUGGCCGAGGCGGCAACGCGAGCGAACUCGGAGACGUCGGCGGGAGCCCCGGGAAGAGUUCUCUUUUCUUCUUAACGGGCCCAUCCCCUGGAAUCAGGUUGGCUGGAGAUAGGGUGUCGUGCCCGGUAAAGCGUCACACUUGUGGUGGCGUCCGGUGCGCUCCCGACGGCCCGUGAAAAUCCGAGGGAGCGUCUGAUCUUCGCGCCCGGUCGUACCGAUAUCCGCAUCAGGUCUCCAAGGUA